CAGCCGCCGCGGUAAUACGUAGGUGGCAAGCGUUGUCCGGAAUUAUUGGGCGUAAAGGGCUCGCAGGCGGUUUCUUAAGUCUGAUGUGAAAGCCCCCGGCUCAACCGGGGAGGGUCAUUGGAAACUGGGAAACUUGAGUGCAGAAGAGGAGAGUGGAAUUCCACGUGUAGCGGUGAAAUGCGUAGAGAUGUGGAGGAACACCAGUGGCGAAGGCGACUCUCUGGUCUGUAACUGACGCUGGGGAGCGAAAGCGUGGGGAGCGAACAGGAUUAGAGACCCCUGUAGUCCCUGUCUCUUAUAC
rnacentral:rRNA from 1 species